AGAGAGAUCAUCAGACCAAACAGACUAAUUUCUAAAUUUAGGCAGCACUCUCCGCUGCCGCAGUCUCCGGCUUCCGAUGAAAUCGCCGCCCCCCUUUCCCCUCUCCGAGCAAUCACAGUGGUUCCAGCCCCUAACCCGCGUCGUUGACGAGAUUGCGCCGCCGCCGCUCAUUUUUCAGAUUCUCGAGAUUCAGCACUUGUUAGAGUUUUGAUUGAAAGCUAUGCCGCACCGAACACGACCUAUGACUGCGCUUCUUGUAUUUACUGGGCUCAAUGUUGUGCUAGUAUCAACCAUCACUCUAGUCUAUGAUUUCAUAUGCUUUCAUCCAUAUUGGGAAAGAAGGAGAGAACUGUGUCAUCAGCAACACGAAGCUGCGAUCGGGAAGAGCGUUUAGAAUACAGACGAGCAUCUAAAUUGCAUCUAAGUUCCCCAUACUGUGAUCUUUGUAGGAUUUAUUGUCCACUGAUUGCAGAAUUGGACCAUUAGAUUCACAAGCUGUCAUGGUUGAUAUGUCAUAAUCAAACUACCUUCUCUUCUACACCAUUUUGACUUUGUUAAUAUCUGCUUUGCUUGAGAAGUUUGCUCAUCCAAUGAUAUUGAUAGUCUACACUAAGUUCAUAUGUUCUUCCACAUGAUCUUUUGACAAAAUAGGUCUGAGAAUUAUGUUUUUACUUGUUGAGGUGUGUUUGCAAUUAUGUUGAAAUGUAAGGUUAUAUUUGCAAAUAAGGUUGCUAUAUGGCUUUAUGUCAUAUGUCACCUCGUGAUCAAAACACAAGUAUUGGUUUCUUAGGUUUGAGAUUGAUAUUUAUUUGGUCCUUGAAGUUUCAAAAUGAACGAUUUUAGUCCUUAGAUUU